UCAGAACGAACGCUGGCGGCGCGUCUUAAGCAUGCAAGUCGAACGGCAAGAGGUAGCAAUACCUCCUAGAGUGGCGGACUGGUGAGUAACACGUGGGUGACAUACCCUUCAGAUGGGGAUAGCUAUUAGAAAUAGUAGAUAAUACCGAAUACGAGCACAGGGGUUAGAGAUCUGUGAGGAAAGGAGCUAAGGCUCCGCUGAAGGAAUGGCCUGCGGCCCAUUAGCUAGUUGGGGAGGUAAGAGCCCACCAAGGCGAUGAUGGGUAUCCGGCCUUAGAGGGUGAACGGACACAUUGGGACUGAGAUACGGCCCAGACUCCUACGGGAGGCAGCAGCUAAGAAUAUUCCGCAAUGGACGAAAGUCUGACGGAGCGACGCCGCGUGGAUGAAGAAGGCCGGAAGGUUGUAAAAUCCUUUUGAAACUGAAGAAUAAGCGUUGUAGGGAAUGACAGCGUGGUGACAGUAGGUUUUGAAUAAGCAACGGCUAAUUACGUGCCAGCCGCAGC
rnacentral:rRNA from 1 species